UACGAAGGGGGCUAGCGUUGCUCGGAAUCACUGGGCGUAAAGCGCACGUAGGCGGCUUUUUAAGUCAGGGGUGAAAUCCUGGAGCUCAACUCCAGAACUGCCUUUGAUACUGGCGAUCUCGAGUCCGGGAGAGGUGAGUGGAACUGCGAGUGUAGAGGUGAAAUUCGUAGAUAUUCGCAAGAACACCAGUGGCGAAGGCGGCUCACUGGCCCGGUACUGACGCUGAGGUGCGAAAGCGUGGGGGCAAACAGGG
rnacentral:rRNA from 1 species